UAAGAUCAAUCUUCUGCAUCUCUGUCUUUCCAUCUCUCUCUCACUCACGACUCAAUCUUCUCCAUCUCUCUCUCUCUCACGAUUCAAUCUAUCCUUUCAAUCGUUAAACCUAAAAUCACAAAGCCUUCAGAAACGCACAGAGAUUGACUCUAAUCCACCUUUUACGAUUCAACCUGUCUGGAUACAACACUUUCUUCUCCAUCUCUCUCUCUCUCUCUUUCACUCGGCCAUGAUGAAAGCUUCGUCGACAACACUUGACUCGAGUCAGAUUCGAACCACAAACAGAGAUGGCGGAGCAGCGCCGGUGGCAAGGCGGAAGACGGCUGUUCAUAAAAAGAUGGGGAGAAGAAGCUUCGAUGGUUCAGCUCGCCGGAGAUGAAUAAAGGGGGAAGUCUCAGCCUCUCUUUGCCGUUAAAGUGACCUUGUGAGUUCACGACAAUGGUGGUCACAGAUGCUGAAGAUCCUUUUGUUGGGGAGAUUACUUGUGGAACUUUACUGCAAAAUUUGCAGAUAAAUCUCUCAACCAUAACUUUCUUUCUUACAAACAUUGCAAGGCUUUUAUUAAUUCUUGUGUGGUGUGGAUUUUUUUUACAACAGAAAUCUUGGAUGAAGCUGGUGAAAGUGAUGAGAGAGUGUCUUGUUUACAAGAGAAAAUUUGAACAGGCUGCCAAGUCCCGAGCCGAGCUUCUUCAGAUCUUGUCUGAUGCUAGUGCUUAACUUUCCAGAAAGAGAGGUACAAAAACUUUAGCUGUGACAUCUCAAGCCAUGGAGAUGAUGUAAGAGAACAUAGGCUUAAGGAGAUGGCAGAUAAAGCUAGUGGUGGUGGUGGUGUAGGUGAAGCCGAACAAGAAGAGAAGAAAGAGACGUAGAGCUGUAGAUUUUGGUUUAUUAGGUUUUGUUUAAAUUUUUUAGUUAUUAAAUUUUUGGUUUAUUUAAGUUUGGUUAAUUAGGUUAUGUUUUUUUUGGUUUAAUGUAUAAACUGAUUUUAUUUGUAAACAAAUUUUAAUUAAUGAAUAAAAUUUAAUUUUUAAA